GACGAACGCUGGCGGCGUGCCUAAUACAUGCAAGUAGAACGCACAGUUUAUACCGUAGCUUGCUACACCAUACACUGUGAGUUGCGAACGGGUGAGUAACGCGUAGGUAACCUGCCUGGUAGCGGGGGAUAACUAUUGGAAACGAUAGCUAAUACCGCAUAAUAUUGAUUAUUGCAUGAUAAUUGAUUGAAAGAUGCUAUUGCAUCACUACCAGAUGGACCUGCGUUGUAUUAGCUAGUAGGUGAGGUAACGGCUCACCUAGGCGACGAUACAUAGCCGACCUGAGAGGGUGAUCGGCCACACUGGGACUGAGACACGACCCAGACUCCUACGGGAGGCAGCAGUAGGGAAUCUUCGGCAAUGGACGAAAGUCUGACCGAGCAACGCCGCGUGAGUGAAGAAGGUUUUCGGAUCGUAAAGCUCUGUUGUAAGAGAAGAACGGGUGUGAGAGUGGAAAGUUCACACUGUGACGGUAUCUUACCAGAAAGGGACGGCUAACUACGUG
rnacentral:rRNA from 1 species